UUGUAACCUCUACUGUACAAUUCCAGCAGGGAAGGAGCUCAACACUGAAUUCUAAAGCUAUGCAUUUGACUGUUUUCUUUCUCCUUAACCUUUUCAUAGCAGGGGUGAGCAACCGGAUGCUGAGGAGGGAAAAACUGGGCAAAUUAAAGGGGAAUGAGCUUCAGACCCCAUGCAGAGCUGGCUGUGAGUCCAGGUUUCACUGCUCACCAGCUGCAUGACCUUGAGCAUGUGACUCCCCCACUCUGAGCUGCAGUGGCCUCAGUGCGACACCUGGGUGGUGGUUAAAAACCUCGUGAUCCACAAAUGAAGGCCCUUGUUAUUAGUUGGCAAAAAAUUAAGGAAAAACAAAGAACACCAUGGCCUUGAAGAAUGUUGGGCAGGAGACUGCUCCUCCUCUGGAGGAAAGUGAAGACAGGAGGCUGUCACAUCGUCUCUGACAUGGAGAGUGGCUUUGGGGCCAUCUGUAGGGGAAGGACACAGAGCUCUUGAGCCCCCUUCUAGACUCAAGGUUGGCCUUUUACAGGGGUGAAGGAGGUAGCCACCAAAAGGGAAUGAUUUGCAGGCCACCAGAAAUGUGCCUGAGGUCCCACCUGUGGACCCUCCAUUUUUGGACCCUGUUCCCUUUCAAUGCCAGUACUCUUUUCUUUUUUCUUUUCUUUUUUUUUUUUAGACGGAGUUUCCUUCUUGUUGCCCAGGCUACAGUGCAGUGGCAUAAUCUCAGCUCACUGCAACUGAUUCAAGCGAUUCUCCUGUCUCAGCCUCCUGAGUAGCUGGGAUUACAGGCGCCCGCCACCAUGCCCAGCUAAUUUUUUGUAUUUUUAGUGAAGAUGGGGUUUCACCAUGUUGGUCAGGCUGAGCUCGAACUCCUGACCUCAGGUGAUCCACCCAUCUCAGCCUCCCAAAGUGCUGGGAUUACAGGUGUGAGCCACCGAGCCUGGCCCAGAACUCUUAGAAGUAGAAUGUCAGGGUUGAAAGAGCUUUUAGGAUUUUCGACAGUUAUGGUAGAGUAUUAUUGGUCACUAUAAGAUGUUACUGGGAAUGGAACUACUGGCUGUUUUCCAACUGACUGUUCCGUCAGGGUGGGGAGAGGUCUCAGCACGAGGCCCCGCCGAGAUGUUGGUGGGUGGUCAGCCACGUGGGCUGCUCACUCCUGGUUCACCCACUGUGUUCCUGUCAGUGAAGCAAACAUCCCCAUUUGGCAGGAGAAGAAGCUGCCGAAGGUCACAUUGCGAGUGAGCGGUGGCCCAGGGGUAGGGCAGCCUUCUUUCCUCUGCAGUUCACUGCUCCAGGACCAUCUCCAGCCUCGUAGCUCACCGUGGACAGCCCUGCGGUGUGGCGCUGAUGUACAGAGUGAUGCCAGGCGUUCAUCUCCCCGCUGAGCUCCUGCUGAGUGUUUGCCUGGGGCCAGGCCCUCCUUCCGGGAAGUCAUGUUAGCUGGAAAGAACAGGGUGGGGGUGGGUGGCAAGGGAUCAGAGCGUGAGCGUCUGAGGGCUUCGUCAGGGGCAGUGAGGAGCCUCUAAAGGACUCUACACUUAGGAAUGACAGAGUCAAACAAUUUAACAAAACCCUAAGGGUUCCUUCCAGGAAAGAAUGAGCCCCAUGUAUCACCAUAAGCAACUUCUUAGAAACAUAACCCACCCCUGUCAUCCCAGCACUUUGGGAGGCCAAGGAGGGAGGACUGCUUGAAACCAGGAGCUCAAGAUCAACCUGGUCAACAUAGUGAGACCCCAUCUCUACAAAAAUAAAAAUAAAUUAGCCGGGCAUAGUGGCACACACCUGGAGUCCCAGCUACUCAGGAGGCUGAGGCAGGAGGAUCACAUAAGCCGGGGAGACUGAGGCUGCAGUGAGCUGUGAUGGCAUCACUGCACUCCAGCCUGGGCAACAGAGUGAGACCUUGUCUCUAAAAAAAGAAUAAUAAAUUUUAAAAAACAAAAUAUAACCCACCUUAGAAUUGAUUCAGGCCUCUUCCCCUCCUGUCACGUUGCCAGGAUCCCAGGACGCUGGUAUCCUGCAUAGAUUUCAGGUACAUCACCGAUGUCCUGACUGAGGAGGAUGCCCUAGGUGAGUUUGGAAGCUUUCUGGGAUACACGAUGUGCACACACAGUAGUGGCAUGCUUUGUUUCCUAAAAGAGUGAGUAAUGCUUUUUAUUUCUUCCAGAAAUACUGCAGAAAGGUCAAGUUGGUAAAAAAGAAAGAGGUGGGUUGUAAGAAAAUUUUCUUCAUUGUUUUUGCUAACAUUGUCCACUUUUGAGUGCCCCUGUCCUUUUGGGGUACACGUUGUCCUCCCAAAUGCCCUGUGCUGAGCAGCUAGGCCCUCAAAUCAACAUUCAAGUCUGCAUGGUGAAGCCUCCUGGGUAUGACCUCUGACUGCAGAGUUUGCUUCAGCCACUGCUGAAAGGAAGUUUGGCUUUAGGAUUAAACUGUAGGGAGGGCCCCUGGGGAGCAGGGCAGUCCGUGAGAGUAUCCUGAUCACCUGGGUUUGACAUCCUAGUAAUUUGUGGCUGGGUGUGUGUGAAGGGCCGGGUCAGGAGAACAGCUGGACUCUCCAGGGGAAACAGCUUAGCUACAGGCACUUCCAAUUCCGAAGGGCCCUGGAAAGUGCAAAAUGUUGACGGCGCUGUGUUUUCACAGAGAAGCAAAUGCUGGCACAAGGCUACCCUGCUUACACGACAUCGUGCGCCUGGCUGGGGUACUCAGAUGACACGUUGAAGCAGCUCUGUGCCCAGGCGCUGAAGGAUGGCUGGACCAGGUUUAAAGUAAAGGUGGGUGCUGAUCUCCAGGAUGACGUGCGAAGAUGCCAAAUCAUCCGAGACAUGAUUGGACUGGAGAAGACUUUGAUGAUGGAUGCCAACCAGCGCUGGGAUGUGCCUGAGGCGGUGGAGUGGAUGUCCAAGCUGGCCAAGUUCAAGCCAUUGUGGAUUGAGGAGCCAACCUCCCCUGAUGACAUUCUGGGGCACGCCACCAUUUCCAAGGCACUGGUCCCAUUAGGAAUUGGCAUUGCCACAGGAGAACAGUGCCACAAUAGAGUGAUAUUUAAGCAACUCCUACAGGCGAAGGCCCUGCAGUUCCUCCAGAUUGACAGUUGCAGACUGGGCAGUGUCAAUGAGAACCUCUCAGUAUUGCUGAUGGCCAAAAAGUUUGAAAUUCCUGUUUGCCCCCAUGCUGGUGGAGUUGGCCUCUGUGAACUGGUGCAGCACCUGAUUAUAUUUGACUACAUAUCAGUCUCUGCAAGCCUUGAAAACAGGAUGUGUGAGUAUGUUGACCACCUGCACGAGCAUUUCAAGUAUCCCGUGAUGAUCCAGCGGGCUUCCUACAUGCCUCCCAAGGAUCCCGGCUACUCAACAGAAAUGAAGGAGGAAUCUGUAAAGAAACACCAGUAUCCAGAUGGUGAAGUUUGGAAGAAACUCCUUGCUGCUCAAGAAAAUUAAGUGCUCAGCCCCAACAUCUUUUUUCUUUGUGAAGUGAAAAGGCUUAAAAUUUCUUGGAAAUAGUUUUACAAAAAUGGAUUUAAAAAAAUCCUGUGGAUCAAGAUUAGUUCAGCUAAAAGUCAUACCACCCUCAGGAAUCAGCUAAAGCAAAAAGAACUUUUACCUCGGCAUCCAGCCCAACCCCUAAAGACUGACAAUAUCCUUCGAGCUCCUUUGAAAGCACCCUAAACAGCCAUUUCCAUUUUAAUAGUUGGAUGUGGAUUGUACCCUUCAAUCUGAAAGUCUUCAGCUUUGAAGUCAUCAAUUUUCUCAACUUUUCGAAGAAUCUUGAGCUUUGGGAAAGGUCUGGGUUCUCGCUGAAGCUAAAAACAAAAUAAGACCAUUAUUUUGCCAUAAUUGUACAACCUGUUGUAAUUGCUCCUCACAUCCAUGAAACAAGUACACAGGAUGUGAUCAACAAAGUUUUAUUUUACAGGAGUAUGAUCCUGUCGAUACCUUGCCGUAGGUUAUGUAACAUGAUUGGAGCGCAACGAGCUGCUUUCUUGCACAGAUCAAGAGUGAAGGGUAUUUUGUGACAUUACACAGUGUCAGGAGCCUGGUGCCUCAUCAGGUGUAAGUUCUUAUAAUCACUCUUGGCAAAUUUAUUAAAGAUAGGAACACAGUCAAUCUGUAACUCAUGGUAGCUCUACGUUUACUUGAAUUCCACAAUCCCUAAGCCAUCUAUCCCUGGCAGGAAGAAGGAAAGAUGACAUGCAUGGACAGUGAACAGAAAGAGAUGAAAGCCAGGAUUCCUGGGAUGAACAGACAGUGGCAAUUAGGAUGUGAAGACAGGUCACAACCUAUUACUAUGUCUAAAAACGACUGGAGCAGAGAGCCAGAGAGAAUAAGCCUGAAGUCACCUCCACUCAGGAGCAGCCAAACUCCCUCAAAGGAGUAACUUUUAAAACCUGGAUCUAACCUGGAAGGGGCUAAAAAGUUUCCGAUUCUGAGUUUUUUUCCUUAAGGCUCAUGAAGCAGAUGAACUUACAUUUUUAUUGCCAUUUCAAAUCAAUUGUUGGCUGCUAUAACUUAGGGAUUUCAACAGACUUUUGAAGUUUGGACCUAAAUAUUGUACUUAAUGUAAAAUUAACAAAAAAUAUUUAUGGUCAGGGCGGUGGCUUAUGCCUGUAAUUCCAGAACUUUCGGAGGCUGAGGCAGGCGGAUCACCUGAAGUCAGGAGUUUGAGACCAGCCUGGCCAACAUGACGAAAUCCCAUCUCUACUAAUAAUACAAAAAUUAGCUGGGUGUGGUGGCAUGUGCCUGUAAUCCCAGCUACAUGGGAGGCUGAGGCAGAAGAAUUGCUUGAACCCGGGAGGCGGAGGUUGCAGUGAGCUGAGAUCGUACCACUGCACACUCCAGCCUGGCCAACAGAGAAAGACUCCGUCUCAAAAAAAAAAAAGGAAAAACAUUUGCACUUCAGUUCUCCUUCAAGUUAAAAUGAGUUAAAAUGCCCCCUUUUGGACAAUCCCCUGGCUUGAAUGCGGCUCUUCCCUCUCUGGUACUGGUGCUUGGUACCUCACAGCACCUGACAUGUUAAGUGCCCAUGGUUGCUGAGGCAGAUGCCUGCCUUGUCCUGCCCACCUAACCACCACUUCUCCCUAAACCGAAGCCCCACAUUCGGAGCAGUCAUCUUCAUCUUGGACACAGCAUUGAGCACAUGCCUGUUCCACAAUCAACUUUUUAUCAAGAGAAGGUACCAAACCCAAAAGUAGAACAUCUAAUUCUUACCUGAAUUUUCAGUGGCUCAAUGUGAUUCAGGUAAAUAUGUGCAUCUCCCAAAGUGUGUAUAAAGUCACCUGGCUAUAAACCCGGGGGAGAAAGCACAACAGUAUGUUAGUUUCAAUUCCUUUAAAACAUCAUUUAAAAACAUUAGAAUAUGCAGACACCGCAAGGCUUUUAAAAAAAAAAUAAUUUAGUGUAGCUUUUCCAUUUUUUUGUAGCGACAGCAUCUUGUUAUGUUGCCCAGGCUGGUAUUGAACUCCAGACCUCAAGCAAUUGCUCCUGCCUCAGUCUCCCAAAGUGCUGGGAUUACAGGCAUGAGCCACCAUACCCAACCUCAGCAUAGCUUUUGAGAAAAUCCAUAGAAGCUGUAUCACAAACAACCUGUAUAGAUCUGUUAGUGCAUAUACCACAGGGCCAGAAAACCUUCCAGAAAAGGAAGGUUUCAAAGUAAAAGCCGGUUCAUGUCUUACUUACACAUAUCAAAUUUGAAAGCUAAUCAGAGACUAAACUCUCUGCAAUUUGUUUUCCCAUAUUAAAGAAGUGAAGAGCUCAGUGUGUUAGGCUGGCAAGUCACCCUUCCCGAGACAGCCCACCUUCAGGCCCGUGAUGUGCGCAAUCAUGUACGUGAGCAGGGCGUAGCUGGCGAUGUUGAAAGGCACACCUAGGCCCAUGUCUCCCGAUCUCUGGUACAGCUGGCAGGACAGCUCACUGUUCACCACAUAGAACUGGCAGAGGGCAUGGCAUGGAGGCAGCGCCAUCAGAGGAAGAUCUGAGGAACCAGCAGAGGAAGAUAAGGAGGGGUGGUGGUUUGAAAGACCACAGCUAAAGGCAAAGUAAAACAGGAGAGAAACAGAAGCCAACUCAUAUGGUGGAGACCAGGAGAGAGAGCCACUAGGCUGCAGUGAUGUCCAUAACCCACAGCCCCUGCAGCGAUGGCAUGGAGCUGAGGGAGACUAUCCAUCGGUGCAAGGUUUCUGCAGAUGUCCAUUUACAGCUGAAGCAAUGCUCUUCCAUCAGAGCUGAAGAGAUCUGGGCUACCUUCGUGGCACCAAAUUACAAAUACAGCAGGAAUAAUUCUGUUUGCCACAGGAAACUGGUGCUUCUGGUACACCCUCCUAUAUUAAAAGUCUCUAUUACAUGGC
rnacentral:sRNA from 1 species